GUCCAUGUAGUACAAUGGAUAGCUCGUUGGAUUUUUAAUCCAAAAGUUGUGGGUUCGAAUCCCACCUGGGAUG